UAUUAUUAAGCGGAGGAAAAGAAACUAAUAAAGAUUGACAUAGUAAGGGCGACUGAAAUGUCACAAGCUCAGCAUGUGAAUCAGUGCUUCUCUUGGAGUGCUGAAUUGUGGUCUUACGACUUUUGCAUUACUGAACARGCCAGUCCAURUUUUUUGGAAUAAAAUAGCAAAGAGGGUGAAACUCCUGUUUGUCUGGCCUUACAAAGCAACUGUCACUGAGUCGAGUURUUUGGGAYUGYAACUCUAAUACGGUGGUAAAUUCCAUCUCAAGCUAAAUAUUGGCCGGAGACCGAUAGCYUACAAGUACCGUGAGGGAAAGAUGCAAAGAACUUUGAAAAGAGAGUGAAAGAGUACCUGAAAUUGCUGAAAUGGAAGCUAACAAAGCUAGUGAAAGCUGCGUCAUAUUUUCCAAAUUGCUUGCAACUUGGACGCUGUGGCCAGCCCAGUUCAACUUGAUUGCAACAUGCAAAAGCAGGCAAAGAAAAAGUUUAUUCUUUCUUCUUGCCCGUCAUGCAUACUGAAAUUGAGAGGUACCAAAUAGAUUUGUUUGUCCCGUCUAGAAACACGGACCAAGGAGUCUAACAUAUGUGCGAGUACURGGGCAGCAAACCUUGGUGCGAAAUGAAAGUGUCAGAGGCUGGAAUGUYUUGYACAUUGCACAGUCCGCCGGCCUCAAUCCCUUGGGAAAAUGGUCUGAGUGUGAGCAUACAUGUUGGGACCCGAAAGAUGGUGAACUAUGCUUGAGUAGGGUGAAGCCAGGGGAAACUUUGGUGAAGGCUCGCAGCGAUUCUGACGUGCAAAUCGAUCGUCAAACUUGAGUAUAGGGGCGAAAGACUAAUCGAACUAUCUAGUAGCUGGUUCCCUCCGAAAUUUCCCUUAGGAUAGCUGCAAUCUCAUAAGCCAGUUUUGUCA
rnacentral:rRNA from 1 species